GCCGCUGUGAUGGAAUGGUAGACAUCGCAGACUUAAAAUCUGUUGGGCGCAAGCCCGUGUCGGUUCGAGUCCGACCAGCGGUA
rnacentral:tRNA from 1 species